GAUGAACGCUGGCGGCGUGCCUAACACAUGCAAGUCGAGCGAGAAGUUUUCAGACAAAUCUUCGGAGGCGUCAGGAAAUGGAAAGCGGCGGACGGGUGAGUAACGCGUAGGUAACCUGCCCCAUACAGAGGGAUAGCCACUGGAAACGGUGAUUAAUACCUCAUAUUACCGGAGGAUCGCAUGAUACAUCGGUGAAAGAAAUUCGGUAUGGGAUGGACCUGCGUCUGAUUAGCUGGUUGGUGAGGUAACGGCUCACCAAGGCGACGAUCAGUAGCCGACCUGAGAGGGUGAUCGGCCACAUUGGAAUUGAGACGCGGUCCAAACUCCUACGGGAGGCAGCAGUGGGGAAUAUUGCACAAUGGGCGCAAGCCUGAUGCAGCAACGCCGCGUGAACGAAGAAGGCUCUUGGGUCGUAAAGUUCUGUUCUGAGGGAAGAAGAAAGUGACGGUACCUCAGGAGAAAGCCCCGGCUAACUACGUGCCAGCAGCCGCGGUAAUACGUAGGGGGCGAGCGUUGUCCGGAAUUACUGGGCGUAAAGGGUACGUAGGCGGUUCUGUAAGCGCAUGGUGAAAGGCAACGGCUUAACCAUUGUCAGCCGUGCGAACUGCAGGACUUGAGUGCAGGAGAGGAAAGCGGAAUUCCUGGUGUAGCGGUGAAAUGCGUAGAUAUCAGGAGGAACACCGGUGGCGAAGGCGGCUUUCUGGACUGUAACUGACGCUGAGGCGCGAAAGCGUGGGGAGCGAACAGGAUUAGAUACCCUGGUAGUCCACGCUGUAAACGAUGAAUGCUAGGUGUUGCGGGUAUCGACCCCUGCAGUGCCGGAGUAAACACAAUAAGCAUUCCGCCUGGGGAGUACGGCCGCAAGGUUGAAACUCAAAGGAAUUGACGGGGGCCCGCACAAGCAGCGGAGCAUGUUGUUUAAUUCGAUGCAACGCGAAGAACCUUACCAUGUCUUGACAUCGAGGAAAAGCGGUGGAGACACCGUGAGCCCUUCGGGGCGCCGAAGACAGGUGGUGCAUGGUUGUCGUCAGCUCGUGUCGUGAGAUGUUGGGUUAAGUCCCGCAACGAGCGCAACCCUUAUGGUCAGUUACUAACGCGUAAAGGCGAGGACUCUGACAAGACUGCCGGGGACAACUCGGAGGAAGGUGGGGACGACGUCAAAUCAUCAUGCCCCUUAUGACAUGGGCUACAAACGUGCUACAAUGGUGGUUACAAAGAGGAGCGAGCCUGAGAAGGUAAGCGGAUCUCAAAAAAGCCAUCUCAGUUCGGACUGUGGGCUGCAACCCGCCCACACGAAGUUGGAGUUGCUAGUAAUCGCGGAUCAGCAUGCCGCGGUGAAUACGUUCCCGGGCCU
rnacentral:rRNA from 1 species